GGGGAUGUAGCUCAGUGGUAGAGCAUAUGCUUUGCAUGCAUAAGGCCCCGGGUUCAAUCCCUGGCAUCUCCA